GCAUAUCAAUAAGCGGAGGAAAAGAAACUAACAAGGAUUCCCCUAGUAACGGCGAGUGAAGCGGGAACAGCUCAAAUUUUAAAUCUGGCUGCUCCGCAGUCCGAGUUGUAAUUUGAAGGCGUCUGUCGCAUGUGAGACGAUGGCACAAGUCCUCUGGAACGUGGCAUCGUAGAGGGUGAGAAUCCCGUCUCUGGUCGUUGUCUUGCAGGCACACGGCAGGCGAUCCGAAGAGUCGAGUUGUUUGGGAUUGCAGCUCCAAAUGGGUGGUAAACUCCAUCUAAGGCUAAAUAUUGGCGAGAGACCGAUAGCGAACAAGUACCGUGAGGGAAAGAUGAAAAGAACUUUGAAAAGAGAGUAAAACAGUACGUGAAAUUGUUGAAAGGGAAACGCUUGAAGUCAGUCGUGCCGGCGGGGAUUCAGCGAACUUCGCGGAGUGAGCGUAUUUCCUCGCAUGGCAGGUCAGCGUCAGUUUUGCGCGUCGUGAAAGGGCUCGGGUAAGGUGACUCUCUUCGGGGAGUGUUAUAGGCCUGAGCAGAUGCGAUGCGCGGGACUGAGGAUUGCAGCGGACACCCUUCGGGGCGCGGCGACCGAUCCCUGCUCUGUCACCUUCGUCCGAUAGCGUGCUAACGGUCGGGGGAGCGGCGGUUGCACCGGGUUGGCAAGCCGGCGGCUUCGCUAAGGAUGCUGACGUAAUGGCUUUAAACGAC
rnacentral:rRNA from 1 species